GGCCGUUUAGCUCAGUUGGCAGAGCGUCGUGCUAAUAACGCGAAUGUCGUGGGUUCGAUCCCCACAAUGGCCA
rnacentral:tRNA from 1 species